rnacentral:rRNA from 1 species
GAUGAACGCUGGCGGCGUGCCUAAUACAUGCAAGUCGAGCGAACAGACGAGGAGCUUGCUCCUCUGACGUUAGCGGCGGACGGGUGAGUAACACGUGGAUAACCUACCUAUAAGACUGGGAUAACUUCGGGAAACCGGAGCUAAUACCGGAUAAUAUAUUGAACCGCAUGGUUCAAUAGUGAAAGACGGUUUUGCUGUCACUUAUAGAUGGAUCCGCGCCGCAUUAGCUAGUUGGUAAGGUAACGGCUUACCAAGGCGACGAUGCGUAGCCGACCUGAGAGGGUGAUCGGCCACACUGGAACUGAGACACGGUCCAGACUCCUACGGGAGGCAGCAGUAGGGAGUCUUCCGCAAUGGGCGAAAGCUUGACGGAGCAACGCCGCGUAAGUGAUGAAGGUCUUCGGAUCGUAAAACUCUGUUAUUAGGGAAGAACAAAUGUGUAAGUAACUAUGCACGUCUUGACGGUACCUAAUCAGAAAGCCACGGCUAACUACGUG